rnacentral:rRNA from 1 species
AUUGAACGCUGGCGGCAGGCCUAACACAUGCAAGUCGAACGAGUGGCGGACGGGUGAGUAAUGUAUGGGAAACUGCCUGAUGGAGGGGGAUAACUACUGGAAACGGUAGAUAAUACCGCAUACCCUCAGAUGUGCCCAGAUGGGAUUGGCUAGUGUGUGGGGUAACGGCUCACCAAGGCGACGAUCCCUAGCUGGUCUGAGAGGAUGACCAUGAACACUGUAACUGAUACACGGUCCAGACUCCUACGGGAGGCAGCAUUGGGGAAUAGUGCACAAUGGGCGCAAGCCUGAUGCAGCCAUGCCGCGUGUAUGAAGAAGGCCUUAGGGUUGUAAAGUACUUUCAGCGGGGAGGCGUUACCCGCAGAAGAAGCACCGGCUAACUCCGUGCCAGCAGCCGCGGUAAUAC